AGAAGCCCCUCACAAAUAAAACUUUAAUUUUCCUCUCACGUUGGACAAAAUGAACUUCAAAUUCACCUUUUUCAUAGUUUUCGCGUUAAUUUUUGCUUACUCCAUGGAAGCAAAAACCCAUAAAAAAUCGCACGAAAAGAGUUUAACGGGAAAAUCGCUCCAAUUUAAGCGGAAUUUAAACCAACGCGAUGCUUACUCAAAAUAUGACGGAAAUGAGGAGAAAUUUUUGAUUAACGCCCCUGGACACGUUCAGCGGAGAGCUCAUCAUUAAAAAACGACCCUAAUUUGUUGCAUUAAAAUGGUUUAUUAAUAAAAAAAUUAAUUUGAAAAAA